rnacentral:rRNA from 1 species
GACGAACGCUGGCGGCGUGCUUAACACAUGCAAGUCGAACGCUGAACCCGCUUCGGUGGGGGAUGAGUGGCGAACGGGUGAGUAACACGUGGGCAACCUGCCCCCGGCUCUGGGAUAACUCCAAGAAAUUGGGGCUAAUACCGGAUGUGACCGCUGGCCGCAUGGUCUGGUGGUGGAAAGGGUUUCCGGCUGGGGAUGGGCCCGCGGCCUAUCAGCUUGUUGGUGGGGUAGUGGCCUACCAAGGCGACGACGGGUAGCCGGCCUGAGAGGGUGACCGGCCACACUGGGACUGAGACACGGCCCAGACUCCUACGGGAGGCAGCAGUGGGAAUAUUGCGCAAUGGGCGGAAGCCUGACGCAGCGACGCCGCGUGGGGGAUGACGGCCUUCGGGUUGUAAACCUCUUUCAGCAGGGACGAAGCGCAAGUGACGGUACCUGCAGAAGAAGCACCGGCCAACUACGUG